GCUUACUUGGUGAAAUUGGUAAACACGACAGACUUAAAAUCUGUUCCUUUAUGGUUAUCGGUUCAAGUCCGAUAGUAAGCA
rnacentral:tRNA from 1 species